UUUAACAAAUAAUGUGCGCGUCGUUUUUACGAGCGAUGUGUGCACGUUGAUGAGCUUUUCCGAAAAAACCAGGUUUUUUUGGUGGCGCAUAAUGAACAGCGUGGGCUUUUUCUUCGAUUCUCGUGUAGUAAAUCUUCAACGCUUGGGUUGAGAAAAAGUGCGUGCCGCGCAAUGGGUGUGGCGAAUUUACCCCUGCCCCAAUGCCACUCUUUCCCUGCGAAAGAACAAUCUUUUAU
rnacentral:misc_RNA from 1 species